GAUGAACGCUAGCUACAGGCUUAACACAUGCAAGUCGAGGGGCAGCAUGUCGGUUGCUUGCAACCGAUGAUGGCGACCGGCGCACGGGUGAGUAACGCGUAUCCAACCUUCCCCAUAGUAGAGAAUAGCCCGGCGAAAGUCGGAUUAAUGCUCUAUGUUGUAUUUUGAUGACAUCAGAAGAAUACCAAAGGUUCACCGCUAUGGGAUGGGGAUGCGUCCGAUUAGCUUGACGGCGGGGUAACGGCCCACCGUGGCUACGAUCGGUAGGGGUUCUGAGAGGAAGGUCCCCCACACUGGAACUGAGACACGGUCCAGACUCC
rnacentral:rRNA from 1 species